rnacentral:rRNA from 1 species
CGUGGGUAACCUGCCCAAGAGACUGGGAUAACACCUGGAAACAGAUGCUAAUACCGGAUAACAACACUAGACGCAUGUCUAGAGUUUAAAAGAUGGGUCUGCUAUCACUCUUGGAUGGACCUGCGGUGCAUUAGCUAGUUGGUAAGGUAACGGCUUACCAAGGCAAUGAUGCAUAGCCGAGUUGAGAGACUGAUCGGCCACAUUGGGACUGAGACACGGCCCAAACUCCUACGGGAGGCAGCAG